UACGAAGGGGGCUAGCGUUGUUCGGAUUUACUGGGCGUAAAGCGCACGUAGGCGGAUCUUUAAGUCAGAGGUGAAAUCCCAAGGCUCAACCUUGGAACUGCCUUUGAUACUGGGGAUCUUGAGUCCGGGAGAGGUGAGUGGAACUGCGAGUGUAGAGGUGAAAUUCGUAGAUAUUCGGAGGAACACCAGUGGCGAAGGCGGCUCACUGGUCCAUUACUGACGCUGAGGUGCGAAAGCGUGGGGAGCAAACAGGG
rnacentral:rRNA from 1 species